UAGUCCAUUUACAUUUACCUUCAAGGUUAAUAUUGUUAUGUGUUUUGGUUUGCACUAGGAUGCUAAAGAAAAAUCCCUACACUUUCUGUCUGUCUUUGUGGCGGCCCAGAUUGAAUUGGGGAAUACAUCU
ensembl:snoRNA